rnacentral:rRNA from 1 species
AAGUCGAACGCGUUGGCCCAAUUGAUUGAUGGUGCUUGCACCUGAUUGAUUUUGGUCGCCAACGAGUGGCGGACGGGUGAGUAACACGUAGGUAACCUGCCCAGAAGCGGGGGACAACAUUUGGAAACAGAUGCUAAUACCGCAUAACAGCGUUGUUCGCAUGAACAACGCUUAAAAGAUGGCUUCUCGCUAUCACUUCUGGAUGGACCUGCGGUGCAUUAGCUUGUUGGUGGGGUAACGGCCUACCAAGGCGAUGAUGCAUAGCCGAGUUGAGAGACUGAUCGGCCACAAUGGGACUGAGACACGGCCCAUACUCCUACGGGAGGCAGCAGUAGGGAAUCUUCCACAAUGGGCGCAAGCCUGAUGGAGCAACACCGCGUGAGUGAAGAAGGGUUUCGGCUCGUAAAGCUCUGUUGUUAAAGAAGAACACGUAUGAGAGUAACUGUUCAUACGUUGACGGUAUUUAACCAGAAAGUCACGGCUAACUACGUGCCAGCAGCCGCGGUAAUACGUAGGUGGCAAGCGUUAUCCGGAUUUAUUGGGCGUAAAGAGAGUGCAGGCGGUUUUCUAAGUCUGAUGUGAAAGCCUUCGGCUUAACCGGAGAAGUGCAUCGGAAACUGGAUAACUUGAGUGCAGAAGAGGGUAGUGGAACUCCAUGUGUAGCGGUGGAAUGCGUAGAUAUAUGGAAGAACACCAGUGGCGAAGGCGGCUACCUGGUCUGCAACUGACGCUGAGACUCGAAAGCAUGGGUAGCGAACAGGAUUAGAUACCCUGGUAGUCCAUGCCGUAAACGAUGAGUGCUAGGUGUUGGAGGGUUUCCGCCCUUCAGUGCCGGAGCUAACGCAUUAAGCACUCCGCCUGGGGAGUACGACCGCAAGGUUGAAACUCAAAGGAAUUGACGGGGGCCCGCACAAGCGGUGGAGCAUGUGGUUUAAUUCGAAGCUACGCGAAGAACCUUACCAGGUCUUGACAUCUUGCGCCAACCCUAGAGAUAGGGCGUUUCCUUCGGGAACGCAAUGACAGGUGGUGCAUGGUCGUCGUCAGCUCGUGUCGUGAGAUGUUGGGUUAAGUCCCGCAACGAGCGCAACCCUUGUUACUAGUUGCCAGCAUUAAGUUGGGCACUCUAGUGAGACUGCCGGUGACAAACCGGAGGAAGGUGGGGACGACGUCAGAUCAUCAUGCCCCUUAUGACCUGGGCUACACACGUGCUACAAUGGACGGUACAACGAGUCGCGAACUCGCGAGGGCAAGCAAAUCUCUUAAAACCGUUCUCAGUUCGGACUGCAGGCUGCAACUCGCCUGCACGAAGUCGGAAUCGCUAGUAAUCGCGGAUCAGCAUGCCGCGGUGAAUACGUUCCCGGGCCUUGUACACACCGCCCGUCACACCAUGAGAGUUUGUAACACCCAAAGUCGGUGGGGUAACCUUUUAGGAGCCAGCCGC